rnacentral:rRNA from 1 species
AGAGUUUGAUCAUGGCUCAGAAUCAACGCUGGCGGCGUGCCUAACACAUGCAAGUCGAACGAGAAAGUGGAGCAAUCCAUGAGUAAAGUGGCGCACGGGUGAGUAACACGUGACUAACCUACCCUUGAGUGGGGGAUAACCUAGGGAAACCUGGGCUAAUACCGCAUAACACCUACGGGUCAAAGGAGCAAUUCGCUUAAGGAGGGGGUCGCGGCAGAUUAGUUAGUUGGCGGGGUAAUGGCCCACCAAGACAGUGAUCUGUAUCCGGCCUGAGAGGGCGCACGGACACACUGGAACUGAAACACGGUCCAGACUCCUACGGGAGGCAGCAGUGGGGAAUUUUGCGCAAUGGGGGAAACCCUGACGCAGCAACGCCGCGUGGAGGAUGAAGUCCCUUGGGACGUAAACUCCUUUCGACCGGGACGAUUAUGACGGUACCGGAAGAAGAAGCCCCGGCUAACUUCGUGCCAGCAGCCGCGGUAAUACGAGGGGGGCGAGCGUUGUUCGGAAUUAUUGGGCGUAAAGGGUGCGUAGGCGGUUCGGUAAGUUUUGUGUGAAAUCUUCGGGCUCAACUCGAAGCCUGCACAAGAUACUGCCGGGCUAGAGUGUGGGAGAGGUGAGUGGAAUUUCCGGUGUAGCGGUGAAAUGCGUAGAUAUCGGAAGGAACACCUGUGGCGAAAGCGGCUCACUGGACCAUAACUGACGCUGAUGCACGAAAGCUAGGGGAGCAAACAGGAUUAGAUACCCCCGUAGUCC